rnacentral:lncRNA from 1 species
UCAGUAGGGGCUAAGGAGCAGUUUGGUGAAGCUAGGACACAAUGGAGUCACUUUGGCCUGUCCUUCCUCAUUCCAAUAUGGCCAUCGUGGAUCUGACCUGCUGCUCAGAGAGAACUGCCAAGUAUGAUGACAUCAAGAAGAGGGUGAAGCAGGCAUGUGGACCCCAAAGGGAAUCCUGAACUAUACUGAGGACCAGGCUGUCUCCUGUGACUUUAACAGCGGCACUCUUCCUCCUAUGGUGAUGGAUGGCAUCGCUCUCAAUGACCACUUUGUCAAGCUCAUUUUCUGAUAUGAUAGUGAACUCAGCUACAGAGACAGAGUUAUGGAUCUCAUGCCUUACAGGGUCUUCAAGA